rnacentral:rRNA from 1 species
UAGGGAAUCUUCCGCAAUGGGCGAAAGCUUGACGGAGCAACGCCGCGUGAGUGAUGAAGGUCUUCGGAUCGUAAAACUCUGUUAUUAGGGAAGAACAAAUGUGUAAGUAACUAUGCACGUCUUGACGGUACCUAAUCAGAAAGCCACGGCUAACUACGUGCCAGCAGCCGCGGUAAUACGUAGGUGGCAAGCGUUAUCCAGAAUUAUUGGGCGUAAAGCGCGCGUAGGCGGUUUUUUAAGUCUGAUGUGAAAGCCCACGGCUCAACCGUGGAGGGUCAUUGGAAACUGGAAAACUUGAGUGCAGAAGAGGAAAGUGGAAUUCCAUGUGUAGCGGUGAAAUGCGCAGAGAUAUGGAGGAACACCAGUGGCGAAGGCGACUUUCUGGUCUGUAACUGACGCUGAUGUGCGAAAGCGUGGGGAUCAAACAGG